rnacentral:lncRNA from 1 species
CUAAUUCACAAUCCCACCAACAGUGCCCAAGGGUUCCCUUUUCUCCAGAUCAUACCAACACUUGUAAUCUUUUGUCUUUGUGAUAAUGUAACGCCUAAGGUUCUUGCCUAACCACGCCAAAGAAUUGGUGUGGCGGCUGACCGUGUUGAGUGAUAGAGACACGACCGAGAGAGAGAGAGAGAGAGAGAGAGAGAGAGAGAGAGAGAGAGAGAGCAGUAGGUUUUACUGAGCAGAGCAAGAGUACAAAGCUUCCAAGGCGUGGAAGGGGUCCCGAACGGGUAGCCAGAGUUAGCUUAUACGAUUGCCUUUUAAACUCUUUAAGGCGGGAAAUACGUGCAGCGGGAAGAUGUUACCAGAGCGAGAAACAAAGGCAGUAAACUAUUUUGUGACAUGUCCUAGAUUUUGAGGAAGACCGGAAUUGCAGCUUAGGUUUUAUCUACUUUAUGACCUUGCAGCGGCAUGGCAAAGGAGACAGGAUCUUACAGGACUUUACAAGAAUUCACCAGUGAGACCAUCAGAUCUUCGGCUUUGCUUCAUUAGGAGGUUUUUGAUUACUGAUUCAACCUCCUUACUCAUUAUUGGUCUAUUCAGAUUUUCUGUUUCUUCCAGGAGACAGCAAAAUCAACCCUGUCUGUACUUCCUCCUCAGGCUACUCAAUGUGAAGACUAUGAGGAUAAAAAUUUUAUGGUGAUUCACUUCCACUUAAUGAAAGCUCUGCCACUUCGAAGCCAGCAGAGGAACAGAGCUUUAGUGGAGUCCUCCUGAUUGGAUGAAUUGGUGGGCAUGAGUUUGAAACAUAGGAGAGUAAGACUGAGAAAAUCUGAUUAAUCCUCUAACAAUAAUACAUAUUUCAAUUCAAGAAUUAUAAGGUUGGCCACUCUGAAGAAUGCCAGAAAGUUUGUGGCUACUCACUCAGAUUCAAAAAGUAUCAUGGAAGAAGAUUCCUAUCCUCCAAAUUUUUCACCUUAAUUCAAACCAAGGGAUAGAAUUUUGUCUUAGUACAUAGAAUGACCAUAAUGAUUCCAGUGGGCAGAUCCUGAGGGACUCUCCCUCCAAUAUUUUCCCAUUUCAUAGUAUUCACAACUUUGUGUAAUCCCCUCUUUUUGAGUGGGGGUGGGACUGGCAAGUUGCUUCUAACCAAUAGAAUAUGGCCAAGGUAAUAGGAUGUCACCCUCGUGAUUAGUUUACAUUCUAUAGGACUCAGUCUUAGCAUACUUCAGAGGGUUGCUCUCCUGCUUGUCUUGAAGAGGUAAGCCUCCCUGUUGUGAGCACAUAGAGAGGACUACAGGGCAAGGAUCUGUGGACUGCAUAGAGAAGCAGACCGCUGGCACAAAUGUGAAGACCUCAGAUUUAUAAUGGCAAGAUGGGUUUUGCUAGCAACCUGAGGGAACUUAGAUGCAGCUCUUUCCAACCUAUGCCUCUAGAUGAGUAGGCAGCCCAGCCAUUACAUUGAUUACAGCCUUGACAAACCCUGAUCAGACGAUUCAGAUAAAUUGUGCCUGGAUUUCUGGACUAUGGAAAAUAUAAAAUGCAAAUGUUUGUUUUAAGCUGCUAAGAUUAUAGUAAUUUUUGAUCUGUCAUUGAACACAUGUACAAUAAUGAAGGAAUAAUGUCCAUGCAUACAGCUGACAGCACAGAUAACUGAUUUAAAAAUGCUGAGACAUUGAAGUAUGUAUAUACAAAUGGUUAAGUUUGUCUCAGUGAAGUUUCUCAUUAAUAUGAGUUAUCUGUUUAAAUGAGCAUGCAUUACAUAGCACUUAAGAGUAUGAACUCUGAAUUCCUGGGAUGAAAUCCCAGCUCUUUUACAUCUAGCCUUAUGACCCGGAGCAAUCCAUGAAACCUUUCUGAGCCUCAGUUGUUUCAUCUGACAAAUUGAUAAUAAUUUUAUCUAUUUUGCAGUAUUGCUAUGAAGAUUGGAUGAGUAAAUAGCACGCUGUCUAUUUGUUGAAUUAUUAAGAUAAAUAUUUUCAUUUUCUCAGUAUAAAUAUACUGUAAAUUGUGUUAUCACUGCCAAAAUAAUUAAGCUUCAAAAAGGAAAUAAAUAGCUCCUCUCACUGUACCUAGAAUUAAUGUCAGGAAUGGUACAGGCUGUAAAACAAUAGAAAUGUGCAGAUGCCCAUGAUAGAAAGAAAGUUAAUUCAAUGAAAGAACAAAAAGAACAAUGAAAAAUGUCAUGGAUUUGCAGCAGAUUACACAUGUCACAGAAAGAGAUCUCGUAGAAAUUCACUUUCAGAGAAAAUGGGUUACCUACUGGUAAAACAAAGUUUCAAUGGGGAAAUUUUGGCUCAAGAAAGCUGUAAAAGAGUGAAAAAGUUACCUAAUAAGGAUACACAAACAGUAGAAAGAAUGGUUAGUAAAGGAGUAAUCAUAGCAAUAGUAAACUUUAGUGAAAUUCUCUAAGACAGAAGUCAUGAAAAACACAAAGAAAGAAGACACUCUCAUGUCUGUUGCAGCCACAAUAGCCGACAUGUGCAAACAACUUAAGUGUUCAAUGACAGACGAAUGGAUAAAGAAAAUAUCACACACACCCACACCCACACACACACACACACAGGAAUAUUAUUCAACCCUAAAGAAGAAGGAGAUUCUGUCAUUUGCAACCACGUGGAUGAGUCUUGAGGACAUAAAGCUAAGUGAAAUAAGCCAGAGACAGAAAGACAAAUACUGAAUGAUCUCACCUAUAUGUGGAAUCUAAAAAUAAACCAAACUCAUAGUAACAGAGUAGAAUGGUGAUUUCCAGGGACUGGAGGAAGGGAGAAAGAGGAGGGUAUUGGUUAUAGGGCUAUGAGCUAUAAGAUGAAUAAGUGCUGGAAUCCUAACACACAGCAUGGUGACCAUAGUUAAUAACAAUGUGCUGAUUUUUGCAAAGAGAGUAGAUUAUAACUGUUCUCAUCACACACACACACACACACACACACACACACACAAAUGUAACUACGUGAUGUGAUAUGUUUCUUAAUUUGUGGUAAUCACUUUGCAGUGUAUACACAACAUCAAAACAUCGUGUUGUAUAGCCUAAAUAUAUCCAUAUUUAUUUGUAAAUCAUAUCUCAGCAAAGCUGGAGAAAAGAAGAAAGAUUAGCAACGAGUCACUCCUCAUCCAGGCACAUAUUUUACAAAAAUAGGUCAGAGACCAAACUCAGUUAUUCCUGGUUGGAAAAUUAUUAUCAAUUGCUUUAUGAUGUUGCUUUGAUGUUGCAAUGUAUUUGGUUACGUAUACUUUGUAUUUCUGGUGCUUAUAUAUACUUCCAAUAAACAGUAAAUCUGUGUAUAAAUGCAUCUGCUAUACAAUGCUGAUACUGGCAAAACACAUUUUAUUAGCUAUUCAGACAACUAAUGCAGUUUCUCCCUGAAAUCAUCUUCCUCAAUGGAUUAGUGCAUGAUUAAUUUUUCCUUGGACUUCUUUCUCAGACAUAAAUGUUUUACUCAAAUUCUUACAAUCAAAAAUGAGACUAUGUAGUUGGAACAGGCAGAGUUUACAUGGCCUUAAUUUAAAGAGGCAUUGUCUUUGGUCAACUUUUUAAAAAUUACAUUUGGUCUAAUCAUCUUUACAAAUGCUUACAUUCAGUAGGCAAAAUGAUUGAAAAGCCAGAAUCCUUUGAAUCACAUUUUUCUUUGUUAUCAUUUGAGUAUAGAGGCAGCCUUUGUUUUCUGCCAAAAAGAUGAAACAGUUAUAAAAUAAUCAACUUCAGAAGAAAACAUUCUUCUAGGGAAAAAUUAGACCAAACUUUCAUCCAUUUGACUUUACCUAAUGGCAAAGUUAGAUGGUGGGCAGAAAGAGAGUACUUACAUUAUGAUAGCUUCCUAUAAGGUUCAGAUUUACAACUCGGUAAAGUCUGUUUUAUAUUAUUGUAAUAAGUCAUAAAAAUAUAACUAAAAUAGCAAUAAACAUGACCUUUUUAAGCAUUUGUAAAUAUCCCUCUAUUUUUCUCUGUCACCCUUCUCUAAUUUAGAAAGAUAAAUAGAAUAUAAAUAUUGC